CACAAUCUAGAAAAUCUGUAUCAAUCACAUCUCCCUAAUGUCGUCUUACUAGGUCGUUAGUCAGACUGGAAGUUCCAGAUUCUUCUGAAUCCGAACUCACCACAGUAGCAAUUUUCUUCUCUUUCCUUGAACAUUUAUUUAUACAAGACAUUUUAUGUUGAAGAAUGGAUGAAGAACUUGGAGCAUAUCUGAGAAAUUACUAAAUAUAUAGUGGUAGAUCUGGAAGUAAGUUAAAAUAAAGACGAAGAAAAGAGAGAGGACGAGAGAGAAAACUACGUUGAUCAUUAGGGGAAUUAAGGUAAUAAGGAGAGGAGUCUCGUAUUUAUAAUGAUACUGUGCAGAAGACGAAGAAAGAUUAUCAUUGGGGAUGAUUGGUAAGUGUUGUGGUUUUUAUUUUUUGACUUUAGAAUAAUAGCUGUAGAAUUUAUUGUUGUAGCUGUAGAUUAAUUAUUUCUAGAGCACUAAAUAUAAAUCUCUAGAAAAAUUGAUUUCCAAAGCUAUUUUGUUUUCUAUUUUAGUUUUUAUGGCUGUAGCUUUAAAUUUUUUCUUAAAGCAUGAUUGGUAAACUAAAGUAGAUGUGGAUGUGGAUGUAGAAAAAAAAUGAGCUGUAGAAAACACUCACAUCACUUACCAAUCACCCCCAAUUAUUAUGUCUAUAAACCCUGGCGAUGCCACGUUCCCGCAUUUUGAGGAGACCACGAUUCUACUUUCCAAGAUAAAACCAGAGGGCCGAUUUAAUGAUUGGAAAAUGGUACAAAUAGUUAUUGAUAACCAAAGUUCUAGAUAACUAGUUUGCGGAAAACUAACGAAGACCUUAGACCAUCAUUAACCCCAGUCUAUUAACUGGGGUUCUUAGCUUCGGCUAAGAGAUAUAAGAGCCGUCUCUUAGCCGAAAAAUGUAAAAAUAAAAAAUAAACAAACAAAAAAGUGUCAAAUCAUGAGUUAAGAGUUAAUGAUGCCCUUAGGAAACAAUACUGAUACGAUAGCUUGGCAACAUUUGAAAGACAAAUCAAGCCAAAUUCUUUUACUUUCAAAAUUCAUUCUUAGUAAUUCAUCGAGAUCGACUUCGUUUCUCACAAUAAAUUGAGGAGACUUUUUAUUGGAGAUGGAUUAUAUCUCUCGACAUGGCCAUCAAGUCGACCGAACUCUACCCAGUUAGAUAAAGGCUGUCAAAGGAUUGACCAUAUACCGACUUAGAAAGAAAAUAAAGAAGUAUGCUAUAAAUAAAGGAGACCUAACUCAAAAAUGAUCAUUCAUAAUCACUCAAAAAUCAGCACAAGAACUAAAGUUUUCAUAGCUAACUGUCUUGACGAGUUCAUUACUCAUUGACAAUUUCAUUAUUUUUGUCUUUUAACCAAUCUUUGAUCUUUCAAUAAAUAUAUUUCAAAUAAUCAACAUCGAAUUCAUGAUUUCAUUUCGAACACACAAUAUUCAGACUAAACAUACAAAAUUCAGAUUAAGCACAAAGGGUAUUACGAUCUUUCGCCUUCUCCCUUUAUAAUUAAACAAGAAAAACUUUAACUUUGUCUUUAGGGAAAAGGAAAAUAAAGAAAUGUGACACUUUCUUACGAAAUUUUAUUGAAAAGAACUCUCCAAUAAAGAAUGGUUGCCAAAAAGAAAAGAAAAAUUGACUUCCUUAGAAAAAAUAAUACUUUCAUGACAAACAAAUUUCGUAAAGAUCUGCUAUCUUUUGGCAUAAACAAGUGCGGUUCCUUGAGACGAACUCCUAAACUUGUUUCCCUGGCUAUAAAUCAAUUAGUUACAAGACAGGUUGCGCUAGUGGGGAGUCCAAGUCCCAACUGUUUGUAGCUUGUGCGAUUCAUUUGAUGAAAAUCAACAACAUUUAUUUUUUUAUGCAAUAUUGUCUUUCUUUUAUUCGCCCCUUGAUCUUUACCCUCCUAGUGAUCUUGAAGCAAAGACUAAAUGGUUGAAAAACCCUUCUUAGGACAAAAUGUUGCUCUGAUCAUUAAAUUGUGCUAUCAAACCUUUAUUUACUUGAAAGAAACAAAACUCUAGGCUUUAUAUCAACGUCUAGCAGUAACCUCAGAUCAAGAUCAUCCAAAAGGUGAAGUACACGAUCCAAAUCCAGCUAAAUCCACUUUCUUGGGCGCAAUUUGAUCCUCCCUCAAGCCCCACUCUUCUGUUCUUGGCUAUUCAAUUUUUAUUUAUCGUUGUAGCUUGUUAGCUAGCAAACUAACCCCAAUUUUUGGGCUUUUUGAGUUUAACUUAUGUAAUCAUAUAUAGUUUAGGUAUAGUUAACUGGUUAUUAAAAAUAAUAAUGAAAAUAGUAAUAGAAAUGACAUGAUUGCGGACUGAUAGAGGGUUUUAUCGGGUUAUUGGGUUUUUCAUUGACUUCAAACCGGAUUAUAUAUGAGUCAGUAAGUUUUGCAAGUUCGACUGCGGAUUAGUGUGUGGAUAUGAAAACACUGGUUAACUUGUAUAACCAUGGUUGAGGUAUAUAGUUAGACCAUGAUUAACCCGGAGUUUUUAGAGUGGGGUUCUUAGCUAAGAACCUCAUCCUAAAAACUCCGGGUUAAUCAUACUCUUAAUAAACUGGUUAUAAAAAUAAUAAUAAUGAAAAUAGUAAUAGGAAAUGAUAACAAAGGUGGCAAGGCACUUGCUUGCCCUUAUUCUUAUGGCUAUUAGACACUGAGUAAAUUUAAAACAAACCAAAAAUAAAGAGAGUAAAUUUACAGUUCGGCCCAUUUAUACUUCUGCGUUUCUAUUUAAUAGUUAGAAAUUGUAGCUUUCAAAUUCUAGAGAGCGUGAGAAAAUUGCAACCAAGAAUGGGAACUUUACUAGGUGACCUUUCCAUGGUGACGAAACUCACAUCCAUGUGGAAAGAGAGAUUAAGUGAAUGGUCUGUCGGCAGCGGAUCGCUUAGGGAAACGGCGCCACAGGAGUAUGAAGAGGCGGCUUCCAUGGCAGUUUUCCGCAUAGUUGGGAUGACUUGCUCUGCUUGUGCUGGAUCUGUCGAGAGAGCUAUCAAGCGGCUCCCGGGGAUUCACGAGGCAGUCGUCGACGCGCUGAACAAUCGGGCUCACAUCCUGUUUUACCCAGGCGUUGUUAAUCCAAAUCAUAUAUUAUGAAAGUCCAAUAGAACAUUAUUAGAGUGUUAGCCCAAUUAACUCCAACUCACUACACUAUGGAUUAAGAUAAACCAUAUGACCUAAUCUACCAAAAAGACAAGGAUAAAAGGUGCAGAGAUGAUGAGGACAUGGCCACGUUUCUGGCCACACACAUGUGGUUACAAGGGGAGUAGAAGCAAUGGUGCCGGAACCACGCACUAAAGCUCCGCCUCCAUGAAGACCAACGUCCUUUCCACAGUUACCAUCAACGAUUUGAACCAUGUUAUAUUCAGAUUUAUCGUAGAUUUCCAACUUUAACCAAUUGACAGUAAGUGAAAUAGUCAUAACUCUUUAUAUGUUAGUUAAUUAUUUCUCCAACUAUCAAUGUGGAACUUUUUUUCAUUCAUUAA